rnacentral:rRNA from 1 species
ACCCUGGUAGUCCACGCCGUAAACGAUGAGUGCUAAGUGUUAGGGGGUUUCCGCCCCUUAGUGCUGCAGCUAACGCAUUAAGCACUCCGCCUGGGGAGUACGGUCGCAAGACUGAAACUCAAAGGAAUUGACGGGGGCCCGCACAAGCGGUGGAGCAUGUGGUUUAAUUCGAAGCAACGCGAAGAACCUUACCAGGUCUUGACAUCCUCUGACAACCCUAGAGAUAGGGCUUUCCCUUCGGGGACAGAGUGACAGGUGGUGCAUGGUUGUCGUCAGCUCGUGUCGUGAGAUGUUGGGUUAAGUCCCGCAACGAGCGCAACCCUUGAUCUUAGUUGCCAGCAUUCAGUUGGGCACUCUAAGGUGACUGCCGGUGACAAACCGGAGGAAGGUGGGGAUGAC